GAUCCAGGAGGGGGUCUUUCUGGCGGCGGGAAUGGCAGGAGCAAACCCUGGGAGGCUGCAAAGAACCAGCUCAGAAGCAAGACGAGGAGACUCCUCUUUCUUGGGCUUCCUUCUCUUUACCUUGAAGAUGGGGAGAACAAUCCGACGAUCCUACAGAACUAGAACUUACGCCACAGGAUCACUGAAAGAAUUAAAUGAUACACGGAAAGCUCUUACGUGCAUGGUAUACAGUAGGCGCUCACUGCAUGUGGCACGUCUGUCGUUCCUUCCCCCUGCAAACAGACGUACGUUCUGCGCAUUGGCCUACAGCUUGCUUUUUUCCCCUAGAGUAACGUAUAGUAUUAGUAACCGGUAUUUAUUGAGCGCUUACUGUAUGCCAGGCCCUGUGCUAUGCACUUUACAUUUACAUCGAGGAGGAAGAUACAGUUAUCAUCCGUGUAUAUUUCAAGGGGAUUCGUCCUUUCCUUUUGUCAGCUGUGUGAUAAUCUCCUGGGAGGGUCUCUCCCCUGUCAAUAGAGAUUUAGGUUGUUUCCCAUGUUUUGUCUUUAUUUUUUUUAAUUAAGUUUAUUUAUUUAUUUUGAGAGAGAGAGGGAGAGAGAGAGAGAGAGAGAGAGAGGCAGGAAAGAGCAGAGAGAAAGGGAGGGAGAGAGAAUCCCAAGCAGGCUCCACACUGUCAGCACGGAGCCCGAUGUGGGGCUUGAACUCAUGAACCGUGAGACAAUGACCCAAGCCCAGAUCAAGAGUCGGUCGCUUAACUGACUGAGUCACCCAGGCGCCCGUGUCUUUAUUUUUUAAAUUCAAUGUUAUUAGCGGCGCCUGGGUGGCUCAGUCGGUUGAGCGGCCACUUUGGCUCAGGUCAUGAUCUCACGGUCCGUGAGUUCGAGCCCCGCGUCGGGCUCUGUGCUGACAGCUCAGAGCCUGGAGCCUACUUCUGAUUCUGUGUUUCCCUCUCUCUGACCCUCCCCCGUUCAUACUCUGUCCUCUCUCUGUCUCCAAAAUAAAUAAACGUUAAAAAAUUAAAAAAAAAAUAAAAUAAAUUCAAUGUUAUUAAAAAAAAUUAUUUAGGGGCGCCUGGGUGGCUCGGUCGGUUG